CAGUGGGGAAUUUUGCGCAAUGGGGGAAACCCUGACGCAGCAACGCCGCGUGGAGGAUGAAGUACUUCGGUACGUAAACUCCUUUCGAUCGGGACGAUAAUGACGGUACCGGAAGAAGAAGCCCCGGCUAACUUCGUGCCAGCAGCCGCGGUAAUACGAGGGGGGCAAGCGUUGUUCGGAAUUAUUGGGCGUAAAGGGUGCGUAGGCGGUUUGGUAAGUCUUUUGUGAAAUCUAUGGGCUCAACUCAUAGACUGCAAGGGAAACUGCCGGGCUUGAGUGUGGGAGAGGUGAGUGGAAUUUCCGGUGUAGCGGUGAAAUGCGUAGAUAUCGGAAGGAACACCUGUGGCGAAAGCGGCUCACUGGACCACAACUGACGCUGAUGCACGAAAGCUAGGGGAGCAAACAGGAUUAGAUACCCUGGUAGUCCUAGCCCUAAACGAUGACUGCUUGGUGUGACGGGUACCCAAUCCCGCCGUGCCGUAGCUAACGCGUUAAGCAGUCCGCCUGGGAGUCCGCGACAAGGG
rnacentral:rRNA from 1 species